rnacentral:rRNA from 1 species
ACGAACCGUGCGAACGUUGUUCGGAAUCACUGGGCUUAAAGGGCGCGUAGGCGGGCUGGCAAGUCCGUGGUGAAAGCCCCCGGCUCAACCGGGGAAGGGCCUCGGAUACUGCCAGCCUUGAGGGAGGUAGGGGCCUGUGGAACUUCCGGUGGAGCGGUGAAAUGCGUUGAUAUCGGAAGGAACGCCGGUGGCGAAAGCGACAGGCUGGCCCUCUUCUGACGCAGAGGCGCGAAAGCCAGGGGAGCGAACGGGA